rnacentral:rRNA from 1 species
AGUGAACGCUGGCGGUAGGCCUAACACAUGCAAGUCGAACGGCAGCACAGUAAGAGCUUGCUCUUACGGGUGGCGAGUGGCGGACGGGUGAGGAAUACAUCGGAAUCUACUUUUUCGUGGGGGAUAACGUAGGUAAACUUACGCUAAUACCGCAUACGACCUACGGGUGAAAGCAGGGGAUCUUCGGACCUUGCGCGAUUGAAUGAGCCGAUGUCGGAUUAGCUAGUUGGCGGGGUAAAGGCCCACCAAGGCGACGAUCCGUAGCUGGUCUGAGAGGAUGAUCGGCCACACUGGAACUGAGACACGGUCCAGACUCCUACGGGAGGCAGCAGUGGGGAAUAUUGGACAAUGGGCGCAAGCCUGAUCCAGCCAUACCGCGUGGGUGAAGAAGGCCUUCGGGUUGUAAAGCCCUUUUGUUGGGAAAGAAAAGCAGCAGGUUAAUACCCCGCUGUUCUGACGGUACCCAAAGAAGAAGCACCGGCUAACUUCGUG